rnacentral:misc_RNA from 1 species
AUUGCACUGCAAAAGAAAGUUAUGGGUUGUAAAGAAAACAAAAAUUAAGAGAAACAAAACAAAGGUCUUGCUUUCCUGCAUUUUAUCCCCACUUCCUGAACAUCCUUUCACUCUUUGCUGCAUUAAUUCUCUGUAACUAAACAUGAUUAGAACAGAGAGAGUAGCUUAGCAGACUCAAACAACAGAGUAUAUCCAGAUCCCAUAAGGGAACAAAAAAAAAAAAAA